rnacentral:rRNA from 1 species
CAGUCGCCGCGGUAAUACGAAGGGGGCUAGCGUUGCUCGGAAUCACUGGGCGUAAAGGGUGCGUAGGCGGGUCUUUAAGUCAGGGGUGAAAUCCUGGAGCUCAACUCCAGAACUGCCUUUGAUACUGAAGAUCUUGAGUUCGGGAGAGGUGAGUGGAACUGCGAGUGUAGAGGUGAAAUUCGUAGAUAUUCGCAAGAACACCAGUGGCGAAGGCGGCUCACUGGCCCGAUACUGACGCUGAGGCACGAAAGCGUGGGGAGCAAACAGGAUUAGAUACCCGUGUAGUCCCUGUCUCUUAUAA